UACAGAGGUCCCAAGCGUUGUUCGGAAUCAUUGGGCGUAAAGGGUGCGUAGGCGGCGCGGUAAGUCGGGUGUGAAAUCUUGGAGCUUAACUCCGAAACUGCAUUCGAUACUGCCGGGCUUGAGGACUGGAGAGGAGACUGGAAUUUACGGUGUAGCAGUGAAAUGCGUAGAGAUCGUAAGGAAGACCAGUGGCGAAGGCGGGUCUCUGGACAGUUCCUGACACUGAGGCACGAAGGCCAGGGGAGCAAACGGG
rnacentral:rRNA from 1 species